ensembl:lncRNA
GUUCAGAACACGUAAACAGCGCAUUUAGAAAAAGUUACACUUUUCUACACUUUUCUGCACAAAUCUGAAUGUGAACUUUGGUUAUGAAAAACAAACAAAACCUCUUUGCUCCUAGCUUCAAAAACACACACAGCUUCUGGUGCUGCGAGUGUGUUGCAGAAGUCAGUGGGUCUCAUGUGUGUGGGUUAGUCUAGUGGGAAUAAUAGGUUUGACUUAGUGAUCCCACUCUUGCUUAGGGAAAACAGGAGGUCAGUGGAUGGUCAAAAUCCAGUUUCUUUGCGAACACUGAACUCGGUCUAAACACCUAUGAUAUCUUGCAACAGAAGAGCGAUAUUAGGUUGGCAAACACAAACAUCUUUAUUGACUAUAUUAGGGAAUACACAGAAUGCCCGGGAGAAAGAAAGACAGUGCUGAACUUCCACAGCUUGUCAGGCACAGUUCAGUUCUCAUCACCAUCUCACACCACUAUUUCCACUCCUCCCCCGUUUGAUCUAGUUCAAAUAUCCAGCCGGUGUUUGUGCACUGAGAAGUUACUGAGAACCCUUAAAAAGCCUAACUAGUCACAACUUGAGAAGGAUAUUCCCAGCUAUCUGAGAAAAACAUAAUGCAAAGAACAACAGAUUAUUUGGAUUAAAAAGAAAAAAAAAAAGAAAAAGAGCAGAAGAUUUGAAAACAAGGAGCAUUAUAAGCAUCAGUUCCUCAUUGUCCUGAGGAAAGGGGCCCUGUGGUUGUAGGCAGGAAAUAGCUGCAGUCUUCUUAGGGCUUUGCUUUCCAAGAUAACACUUGGCAGUGUUGAAGAAGAAUUCCUUUCUCAUUAAAUACCAGAUCUGAACUUCAUCCCUUACCUGACUGCAUGCUUUUGCAUGUUCACGUUUCAAAUGCUCAAACCUACUUGACAACAGCAAACCACGAUAGGCUUCUCACAUUCAGAUUUACUGCAGAGCUUCCUUCCCUUCCUGAGUGCUGGGUGAACUGGAGCAAGAAGGGCGGCUUGCCCUCUUUCAGAGCAAGUAGAGGAACUGUGCUAUCUUGUCAGGAAGUUCCUGCUGCGCAUAUACAAUAGAAAAGUUACACUCUGAAGCACGGAACAGGUGUAGGCUUCAGCCCAACUUCACGACUGGAAAGGAUCAAGAAUGACUGCUAUCUAAAACACUUUACCAUCAGUCACUUUACCACCUCACUGCUGACCAGAGUGGGCAAAAAGUACAGACAAAAUGGAGCUGUUCUGUUGACUGGAAACACUGCUUGCAGCUGUCUGGAGGGAAAGCACACAAGAAGAACAGCCUAUGAUAGGUUUUGCCUCCAUUGACCAGAAGUGCGGUUAUCUGAGCAAGUGUUGGAUACUCCUAUCUGGGAAUCAUUAACCACAUUUAAGGAUGGGAACUCCAGUUCUGUGUUAUGAGAAUGCAGCUGAACUGCUGGCCUUAACCUGCGGGAACAACCCACCCUCCUAACUUCUCAGCUGAAAUACAGAACAUAUGCAUGCAUGUGCCAAGCUGCCACCAUUACCAGUCACAUACUGGUCACAUACCAGGCACAUACAUACCUGCUACUUCUCAGUGACUCCAAGCUUUACAUCAAGCUGUGAACACAGUGAGAAAAGAAAAGGCAAAGCACUUGGCUGACCUAAAACAGAUGUCUGUGUUCACACCGAACCUGAAGCUUUUUAACAGAGCAGGAGCUCCACGCAACACGAAGACCUCUUAUAUUUGGAAAGGAGUGCAUGGAUGAGGCCUUGACCUUGUGUUCAAAUGCAGCCAGAACUACUGUCUGUGCAAUUCUCCUGAAAAGGCAUGCAGAAGAAAGGGAAAGGCAUAAUUGGGUGAGGGAUGGAAAACAGGACCAGGUGAAGGUCCAGUAGCGGUUUUCUGCCUAGUCAUCUUCUUUACCCUUUUGAUAUAUAGCCUGCAGCAAUUAUGUCGCUAGGAGAACCAAUAAACCUGACUGCCCCUCCCAAUCAUGGCCUUAAACUAAUGUCAAGAGCCUGACCCAGCAACUUCUGCCUGAAUUUAAUGCCGCUCUGUAGUUGUGUUGUUUCAUGUCAAGGUAGUGCUGCACCAAGACAAACAAUGGGACACCACUCACAGGUCUGGUUCCAUGGCUCUAGGCUUAAGGAACCAACUCCUGUAAAACCCAAGGGAGGCCUUCCUUGCUUUUUUAUGAAGCAGACCACACACAGCUUAUCAGACUAACCCCAUACAGCAGACAAAGUGUGCACUGUAGCAAUUAACUAACAAUGUCAGUAGAGACUAGUCACAAACAGAGUAUAGAAUCAUAGAAUGGCCUGGGUUGAAAAGGACCACAAUGAUCACCUAGUUUCAACCCCCCUGCUAUGUGCAGGGUCGCCAACCAGCAGACCAGGCUGCCCAGAGCCACAUCCAGCCUGGCCUUGAAUGCCUCCAGGGAUGGGACAUCCACAACCUCCUUGGGCAACCUGUUCCAGUGUGUCACCACCCUCUGAGUGAAAAAGUUCCUCCUAAUAUCUAACCUAAACCUUCCCUAUCUCAGUUUAAGACCAUUGCCCCUUGUCCUAUCACUAUCCAUCCUCAUAAACAGCCAUUCCCACUCCUGUUUAUGUGCUCCCUUCAAGUACUGGAAGGCCACAAUGAGGUCUCCCCGGAGCCUUCUCUUCUCCAAGCGAAAGAAGCGCAGUUCCCUCAACCUUUCCUCACAGGAGAGGUGCUCCAGAGUAGGGACCACUAUUGAGUGGGAUCCCCUCUCAGCUGGACUGAGAUCCCCACACCGCAGGCACUGAUUUCUGUAUCAACCAUUGAACAUCAGGUCGCAUUACUCUCCCUAACAUUAUCUUGAAACCUCCCUUCUUUCCAGGGGAUAUUGGUUAUGGCCCUCUCUCAGAGAAUUCAGUCUAAUACUGUGCCUUGCAGGAAUCAGCAGACUCCAUUACCUGGCAGCUUGUGGAGUGCAUUGUGUACUUCAGGAGUUUCCAUGUGUUACCUAAUGGUUUUGUGGGGAGCCGGGGGUGCAUAUCAUUUGUUGUAUACUUUGCCAAGACUGUUUGUUUGUUAGCGUACAUUUGGAAUUCUUAUCUGCUGAGCAUUUCCUAACUGAGACCAUAGUUAUUUAAGGACAGUGUAUUAAAUAGAUAUAUAGUCAACCACCUAAGCUGCAGUCAGUGAAACGUGUUGACUGAACUCUAUUCCCUGUCUUGCACUACUACUAUCCCUAGAACGCAGCUUUUACAAUAUGUUUUUAUUCUUUCUCUCUUCUCUAUCUCCUCUGUUUAGUUAAACGAUAACCCAUUGCUAUUUAACAUCAUCAAAAUACCAUGACUCCUCAUGCUGGGAGCUGCUAUUCCACCAUGGUAAUUACCCAUCUCCUGGCAUUCUGCUUUCUGCCAUUACUCUGUGCCAACACCAAGACAUUCAGUCAGGCAAUCUGAGACCAAAAUUUGGAAUGGUUGGAUGACAGCUUUCUUGAUUAAACUACAACCCAGAAAUAAACUUCAUGAAUAUGCUGUAACAUGGAGCUGCACGGCCUACUUCUCCCUGCCCCAGCAAUAGCAACGUCAGAGACGUAAUUAGUUAAAAAUACAUUCAAUCUAUUUAUUAGAGGCGGAAAUCAGAUAUUUUAACAGUGCAGCAAAACCCUUUUAAGUCAAGCACUCACUUUCUCUGAGGGAACGCAUUUUUUUUCCUCCGAAUAACCACAUCAAAGUGGGCUGUGAGUGCAGUAUUUCCAAUUACUGCUAUCUAAUUGACCAGAUUUCCAGAAGCAGCACAGCACAGCUCUGGCAUUGUGCUCAGGCAUAAAAAUGAAGCCUGAAUACUUCCACCACUUUUUUAUUAUUAUUACUAUUCUUUUUACUUGCAUAUGGAAUGUUCUUAUGUGGGAUGCCUUUGAGUUCAGAAACAUCUAAGAUGUAAGAAACGCAGGAGACCAAGGGCACCUGAAAAUUAAACAAAAAGUAUUACGUUAUCAAACAUUGAAGCUAACCUGAAUGUUUGUUUCUCUGGAAUGCUGCCCAUUUACGUGCACCAAUACACAUCUUCUCCAGCUCUGUACUACAGAAUAUGGGCCUGGGAGGGGCACUGCCUCUACCCAUACCACUGCAACAGGGUUCCCCCCACUGACACCUAUCACAGAAUCACCAAGGUUGGAAAAGACCUCCAAGAUCAUCCAGUCCAACCAUUCACCUGCCACCAAUGUUUCCCCAGUAACCCACAUCCCUUAGCACAAUAUCUGAACGUUUCUUCAACACAUCCAGUGAUGGUGACUCCACCACAUAUCCCUGGGCAGCCCAUUCCAGCUCCUGACCACUCUUAGGGAGUAGAAAUUUUUCCUAAUAUCCAACCUGAGUCUCCCAUGGCGCAAACUUACUGAAGGUGCACUCAAUGCCCUCAUCCAGGUCAUCAAUAAAGAUACAGAACAGGACAGGCCCCAGUCCUGACCCCUGGGGAACACAACCUGUACCCAGUCGCCAGCUGGAUUUAACUCCAUUCACCAGCACUCUCUGGGCCCGGCCCUCCAGCCAGUUCUUUACCCAGUCAAGAGUGUAUCUGUCCAAGCCACGGGCUGUCAGCUUCUGCAGGAGAAUACUGUAGGAGACAGUGUCAAAGGCUUUGCUGAAAUCUAGGUAGAUCACAUCAACAGCCUUUCCCUCAUCCAGCAGAUGGGUCACUAGAUCA